rnacentral:lncRNA from 1 species
GAAAGUGAAACCUGUGAGGUGAAGAUUUGAUCUCUCCUGGACACUCCUGGAUAACUUGCAAGCAGUCUCUUUGAAUACCAUCAAACAAGGAUUUAGCUGAAUUGUUCCAGAGCCAAGAUGGUGGAGUAACCCAACAAAAUAAACACAGGAAUGAAAGACUAACAGAGUUAAGCAACUUUCAUGAAGAGAACAACUUGAAAGGUGAAGAGAAAGUCAGUGGAGAAUGAUUCUUGUCUUCAAAUAUUUAGGUGCUGACACCAUGGAAUAGAGAAGUCUUUUGUUUAUAAGGAUUAUAGGAAAUAAUUAAAACAUUAAAAGAAAACUGUGAAAUAGUUUCCUCUCCUAGCUUUGCGGUGAACAUAAAAAAGUAUUUGCUGUCA